CACGUAGGCACCAAGCGUUGUCCGGAUUUAUUGGGCGUAAAGAGCUCGUAGGCGGUUAGGUAAGUCGGGUGUGAAAACUUUGGGCUUAACCCAAAGCGUGCAUCCGAUACUGCUGUGACUUGAGUUCGGUAGGGGAGUGGGGAAUUCCUAGUGUAGCGGUGAAAUGCGCAGAUAUUAGGAGGAACACCGGUGGCGAAGGCGCCACUCUGGGCCGAAACUGACGCUGAGGAGCGAAAGCGUGGGGAGCAAACAGG
rnacentral:rRNA from 1 species